rnacentral:rRNA from 1 species
UGUAGUCAUAUGCUUGUCUCAAAGAUUAAGCCAUGCAUGUCUCAGUGCAAGCCGAAUUAAGGUGAAACCGCGAAAGGCUCAUUAAAUCAGCUAUAAUUUAAUUGGUGGUACAACAAUUGUUACUUGGAUAACUGUGGCAAUUCUAGAGCUAAUACAUGCAAAACGAGUUCCGACCGCGCUCCCGCGAGGGUGCGCGGGACGAAUGCUUUUAUUAGAACAAAACCAAUCGGAUCUCGUAGUGCGUCAGGCGCGGUUGACUCCGCGUCGCGCCGCGAGCAGUCCGCAAACUCUUGACGACUCUGAAUAACUUUAAGCUGAUCGCACGGUCACGCACCGGCGACGCAUCUUUCAAAUGUCUGACUUAUCAACUUUCGAUGGUAGGCUACGCGCCUACCAUGGUGAUAACGGGUGACGGGGAAUCAGGGUUCGAUUCCGGAGAGGGAGCCUGAGAAACGGCUACCACAUCCAAGGAAGGCAGCAGGCGCGCAAAUUACCCACUCCCGGCACGGGGAGGUAGUGACGAAAAAUAACGAUGCAGGACUCUUUCCGAGGCUCUGCAAUCGGAAUGAGCACACUCUAAAUCAUUUAACGAGUAUCCAUUGGAGGGCAAGUCUGGUG